GUUUUUGUUUAUCCUUCCACACCUCAGAUCACCAUAAUACAUGAGUGAAAUUAAAACAAACAAUCAGUACAUACAUUAGCAUGUGUUGCAUUACACUUGCUAUGCCAUAAGUGAAACUUACUUUCGUUUCAAUAGAUUUUCGUUGAUUACAUCUUUGAACGAGAGCGAGUCAAUGUUGCUUCUAUUGUUCCGUGUGGCUCAUCAGUCGGCAGAUACACAUCGUCUGCAAACUUUACUACGUUAGGGUUAUCCUUGCCAGAAA
rnacentral:misc_RNA from 1 species